UACGUAGGGGGCAAGCGUUGUCCGGAUUUAUUGGGCGUAAAGAGCGUGUAGGCGGCCCUGUAAGUCCGUUGUGAAAGUCAAAGGCUCAACCUUUGAAAGCCGAUGGAUACUGCAGGGCUAGAGUCCGGAAGAGGCGAGUGGAAUUCCUGGUGUAGCGGUGGAAUGCGCAGAUAUCAGGAGGAACACCUAUUGCGAAGGCAGCUCGCUGGGACGUAACUGACGCUGAGACGCGAAAGCGUGGGGAGCAAACAGG
rnacentral:rRNA from 1 species